AGACAAUCCGAUAUCCUUUCUUUUGUAGGAAUUGAUGCAUGUUUUCUGUGAAUGAGAAGAUUUAGAGAAGCCUUGCCGAGGAUGAUUGAGGGAGAUGGAUGAAAAUGAGUCCACAUCAGAGGGUCUCAAACGGCACUGACCUUCAUUCUACCAGAAGUGGACCGGUGACGAGGCCUGUGGAAGAAAAGAAAAUGAAGUCCACAAUACCAAGAAGAAAAACCGCUGUUAUUAAAGCUUUCAGCAAAACCAGACAAAGUGAAGAGUAUGGGGCAUGCAAUGUAUCUCAAAAUGCAGUGCUGUUGAUGGAAGCCCAUGCUCAC
rnacentral:lncRNA from 1 species